rnacentral:rRNA from 1 species
GAUGAACGCUGGCGGCGUGCCUAAUACAUGCAAGUCGAGCGAACGGACGAGAAGCUUGCUUCUCUGAUGUUAGCGGCGGACGGGUGAGUAACACGUGGAUAACCUACCUAUAAGACUGGGAUAACUUCGGGAAACCGGAGCUAAUACCGGAUAAUACUUUGAACCGCAUGGUUCAAAAGUGAAAGACGGUCUUGCUGUCACUUAUAGAUGGAACCGCCCUGCAUUAGCUAGUUGGUAAGGUAACGGCUUACCAAGGCAACGAUGCAUAGCCGACCUGAGGGGGUGAUGGGGGACUGAGGGGCUGAGAGGCGGCACAGGCACCUACGGAAGGCAGCAGUAGCGACUCUUGCGAGAAGGGCGGAAGCCUGAAGGAGCAACGCCGCGCGAGUGAUGAAGGUCUUCGGAUCGUAAAACGGUGUUAUUAGGGAAGAACAGAUGUGUAAGUAACUGUGCGCAUCUUGACGGUACCGAAGCAGAAGGCCACGGCUAAUUACGG